GAGAAUGGAUAGUACAACUAUGUGGCCGCAUAAGGAGGUUCCCCCGGGCAACUUGGAUACCUCAAAGAUCGAGGUUAGGUUGAUUAUUUUGUCAUUGUGGUCCCAAAGACCCUUACAAAGUUACCUAUCUCAUAUCUUAGAGUACUUAUCGUAAGAAACCCGAGCUGGGGCAUUUAUUUUAUACAGUAUUCUUUUUUAUUAGUUAUUGUCAAUAGAUUAUCACCAAGUAAAUUUCUGCAUCAUCUCAUUGGUUCCCUCUUAGAAGAAUCACCUAUCUCCAUUUGAUUAGAGAGUUUUGCUCAUGGAUAGAGAAGGUUUUGAACAUAUCCACAAUUGCUAGUCGAUCUUAGGUGCAUAUCCAACUAGUUCGAUUGGGAAGAAAAGAACCACUGUACUUUUAACACCUUACACUUCUUACUAUUUUCUUUAGAUUGAUUUUUUUCCUUAGAACUUCUUGCAAAACUGACAUCUAGUUCUAUGAUUAUAUCAUCCUAGAUUGUUGCUACCAAUUUAAUGAGCCAAGAUACUAAAGGUUGACUUUGUGCCUUUGAUGAUGUUACGACGGACCAUGUCCUCGAGGUUAAGCCUCAAUCUAUUAAAGGGAAGAAAAGAAAAAGGCCAGACUUGUUAGUAGAAGGGGUUUGCUUUCGGGGUUAUUUCUUAAGAUAAAGGCUCUGAGGGUCUAUGGACGCAUCACCAAUCCAGAGAAUGGGUGCUCUUAUCAUAACUUGUUUCAAAUUUAUAGGUCUAUUCAAGAAGCUAGAGAAAGUUAUAAGCCCCAGUCAGAUUGCCUAAAUAAUGAAGUAGGUGUCUCUCCAUAAUUCUCCUUGGAAGUCCCUGUCGAGCAUAGAAUUUUAAAACAUAUUAUCUUAAUGCCUUUUUUGGCAUUAUCCCACUAUGGUUUAUGUAGUCCUUCAUAUCACAUCUGACUUUUCACGCUUUCUGGAUUGGGGCCUAAUGCAAUAUCAAAUGGCAG
rnacentral:lncRNA from 1 species